UACGUAGGGGGCUAGCGUUGUCCGGAAUCAUUGGGCGUAAAGAGCGUGUAGGCGGCCCGGUAAGUCCGCUGUGAAAGUCGGGGGCUCAACCCUCGAAUGCCGGUGGAUACUGUCGGGCUAGAGUGCGGAAGAGGAGAGUGGAAUUCCUGGUGUAGCGGUGAAAUGCGCAGAUAUCAGGAAGAACACCUAUGGCGAAGGCAGCUCUCUGGGACGGUACUGACGCUGAGACGCGAAAGCGUGGGGAGCGAACAGG
rnacentral:rRNA from 1 species